rnacentral:rRNA from 1 species
UACAGAGGGGGCAAGCGUUAUUCGGAAUUGUUGGGCGGAGAGGGCGCGUAGGCGGCCUGGCAAGUGGAAGGUGAAAUCCCUCGGCUUAACCGAGGAACUGCCCUCCAAACUGCUUGGCUUGAGUCCGGGAGAGGUGAGUGGAAUUCCCAGUGUAGCGGUGAAAUGCGUAGAUAUUGGGAGGAACACCAGUGGCGAAGGCGGCACACUGGACCGGAACUGACGCUGAGGCGCGAAAGCGUGGGGAGCAAACGGG